AGCUGCUUGGAUGAGCAGUGAAACGUCUUCAAGAAAACUCUACAAGUCCAGACGCCUUGCUUCAAUCUUCUCUACGUAGACAUGAAAUAUAGCAAGCUAAAUAAUGAUCUAUAAAAUAUACAUUUCAUCACACAUACUCUCGUAAUAAUCCCUAUUCCAAUAACCUACACUAUAUAUAAUGCUAGUAUGUUUUAUUAUUCCAUCAGUGGUGAGAAAGAAAGAGAAUAGUAGGGUUGUUGUUCUGUGUUUUGCCGUUUUUGCGCCCACCCCUCAUCAGGUCAUGAGAAUUCUGGGAAAAAAAACAACCAAUCAGAGCGCAGGCCAGCAUCACAUAAAUACGACCAUCAGCCGAGACCUAGUCUGUCGGACGACGUCUAGAAGAGAUCUGUGGCUGUGGAGGCGGCGUAGAGCACUGAAGUUUAGCGGCUUUAACGAGUCAACGUACAGUAAAGGUUUUACUUCUUCACUUCACACGGAUAGCAGUCUCUCCGAUGGGAUUUGUUUCAGCGGAUGGUCUUCCUGAUCCGGAUUGGAGUUUUACAUGGUGAAUAAUCACCGAUGUCAAAUAAGGACUUUUUGGACGAUGAGUUAAAUCGGCUGAAAUGCAGACUCUUGACAAAUGAAGCACUUGAAAACAUUGCUCUCCCUGCAGUGUGAUUGGGAUGCCCACACAGCCAAAGAGAGGCCAAACUUCGACCACUGAUGUGAUGGUGGUGCUCUCUGAGUUGUAUCGGUGGUUCUCCUAGCGGAUGAAAUACCAGCCAUCGUGACUGCAGAAUUGCUUAUGGUUCACCUAGGCAUAGGCUCAGAAUCCCUGCAAGAAGACGUGAAGAGGAGAAGUCUCAGCCAUGCUGCUAUUGAACAGUGCACUUCGGCAGCUAGAGGAGCCAUAAAAGAAAACGGCCAGAAGGACAGCAAAGCCGGUUCACAAGUGAAAGGUCAUAAAGACAAUCUGGAAAUUGUACAGGGAAUUGCUGCCACUUCCACAAAAAACAAAGAAAGUCGCUUGGUUGUCACCACAGUGUCUAAAGAGUAUCUCGGUUCAACACACAGCUGCAUCUCUUCUCAAGAUUGGUCCAAUACUGACAAGAACCAACAUGCAGGUGGUAAAGCCGUUAAGAGAGCACAGCUAGACAGUGUGACGAAUAUGUCACCUGGACAUUCUCAAAUCAAAGCAAACAACUCAAACCCAAGGGAACAACCAAUGCUUGGCCAAACAAGUGCUAAUCCAAGUAUGGUGGAGCAUUGUGCUUAUAUGCAUUCACUUCCACCUCUUCCACACCCUGUAACAGUUGUAAAAAAUGCACUAUAUGAAGAUAUAUCGGAUUCAGAAGGUGCAACACAAACGCCAAAUGAAUGGCAGAAUGAAUUACAGUUUUCAGCACUUUCUCAAUACUCAGUGUGUGAAGGCAUAAGUGAAGAUAAUGAUCCACUGACUUCACUUACACCUGAAUUAUCUAAACCCAGCAUUCAACAGUAUGGGCAUGUGAUGUGUGCAGAUGUCUUGGAUGAAGACCAGACUGAUGACUGGCUAGUCAUCCCUUUAGUGAUCUCAGAAAUCAAAUUUGAAUCGGGAGAUGAAGACCAGAAGGACCAAGAAGUAGUUGAACUUGUAAAAGAUGGUGAAGAAAGAAGACCCAGUGGUCCAGUACUUCCUAAGCCUCGAUUCCCAGCUCCAAACCCAGCGCCAGUUUCUUCCCUUUUCUGCCCGAUAGAGGAGUAUGACACCAUUGAAAGCUUUAAACAAGCUAAUAUUUCACAAUAUCUGAAAAGAGACCUGGCACAAGAAAGUAGCAUAGCAUGUGACCCAGAGGAUAGCUGUGAAACUGAAGAUAGUUCAGAUUACUCAGAUGAUUCAGAGCACAACUAUUUGACAGUCUCUAGGAAGUUGUUGACUCUCUCCUCGGCUGCAUCAUCAAAGACUGACGAGUCUGAUGAAGAAAAAGACAAUUUAAAAAGAUGUAAAACCCGAAGACGAAAGAAACCCAAAAGGGAAGAUGUAAUUGUCCUUAAUUCUGACUCAGAGGACAGUAACUCAAUUACAAGACCGUACAGAGACAAAGAGUCUGUGGAUACCUACUAUAAUAAUUAUGCAGCCUCCAGACAAAAUCUUUCAAGUGAUGAAAGUGUAAUAGUCAUUGAGGAUAACACUGAUCAAAACUAUGGGGAGGGAGCUUCCCCUUCAGUGGGUGACCAUGAAACUGCAAAACACUGCUUAAAAUCACUUGCAUCAUCUGAUGCAUCACGCGGUAUUAACAGUGGACAGCCCAGACAUGGAGAGGUGAAAUCCCCUCAUCUGAAAAAGAAGGCAAAGACAAACAGGAGAAUUCUCUCUACAGACUCAGAGGAGAGUGACAAGGACACACGAGGCAGUUUUGAAGCCAAAAACAUGCUUUGCAAAACCAGUCCAUUAUCCAAGAAAGAGCCCCAUCCUGUAGGAAUGGUGUCCCCCACCACUUUAGGCCCUAAUCCUGUGAUUCCACGCUACGCUUUUACACAGGUUUCUUCCACCAGUGUUGUAUUGAAUCGUUUAAAACCAACAGUCCAAAAGCACAAGAAGGCUAUGCCUUUACAGACCUCUAAAGAAACCAGCAAAACAGCUGAAUCCUCUAAAGCAUAUUUGAAAAGAAACAAAAAAGGACAGUUGGUGUCCAAACCAGACCCUACAAAUCAAAAACACCAUACAUCCACAGUGUCUCAGAUGAAGCAAAGCUCGUCUAAUCCCAGACUUCACUGCCCUAACAAGACUCCCUCAGCUCUACGCCAUUCCUACACUACUACAAAAGCACCUUCUUCCACAACUAAGCCUUUAGCAGUUGAGCGGUUGACCAGAGAAUGGGAAAGGUCCUACUACCCAACCAGGAGAGAUAAAAAAACUGGUUCAGAGACAGAGGAGGCCAUUCCUGGACCAAGUCGCAGUGAAAGGGUACAACAACGGAGGCAGAGUUACCAAGAGCCCUCUGUACCACUACUGAUGAAGAGAAGCAAGGAUGAAGCCAGACAGCUGACUGCAAAUGCUACAAAUCGGAUUUCUCAUGCAGAACGCAGAUAUGCUGUUGGGGAAGGUUAUAAGUGGAGGAAUUCAUCGAAAGGUGGCUCCACGAAGAGAGGCAGAUCCCCUCCAAUAUGCCUUGAUUGGGAUGAAGACCCCAGUUCCAGUUACGUUUGUUAUAACUGAUUCUGUUGCAUGUAUACAUAUAGGACUGUUACCUAUAUACAUGAUUUUAUGUUUUAACUGUGUGUUUGUUUAUACUUUAUUGGCAUGCUGUUGUAUUAAAAUGGCUGUUUGAUGUGGUCAUUGCAAUAUUUCUCUAUUGUACUUAAAACUGUUUUAGAAAACAUUUUUGUAAUGCAAUUUACAAAGCUGUCUGUACAAAGUUGUUGUUUUGAGUUGUUAUAGCUAAUGUUUUUUACAUUUUACAUAUUUUGGUACUUUGAAAACUGUUUUUAAACUUAACAUGUUACAUGUCAAAAUACAAAUGAAAAGGAGCUGCUGCUGAUUGGCUUCUGUCCUGAUUUAAAUCCACUAGGGGGAGAUAUUACACGGUGUUUGUCUGAUGCGUGUCUACAGAUAUUGCCAUUUUAAAGAAUCCUACAGGCAGCUCGACUUCAUUCAUCUGUUUAAUCUUUGUUCACUUUUCAUACAAAUGUCCACUUCAGAAGUCUUUAUAACAAAAAUAGACAGAAAACUCAUGGUCAAAAACGUUUUAGCGUCGACUGAUGAGAUGACACAGAAAUGAUAAGUGUUUAUGAUAAAUACAGGUGAGAUAAUCAGACACUACCCUGACAGCUCAAAAUACACACACACACGAA
rnacentral:lncRNA from 1 species